rnacentral:rRNA from 1 species
GGUCAAGUUAUUAAGGGUGCAGGGCGGAUGCCUUGGCACUAGGAGCCGAUGAAGGACGUGAUAAGCUGCGAUAAGCUUCGGGGAGUUGCACGUAAACUUUGAUCCGAAGAUUUCCGAAUGAGGAAACUCACUUAGAGUAAUGUCUAAGUAUCAUUAAGUGAAUACAUAGCUUAAUGAGGGGAACUCAGGGAACUGAAACAUCUAAGUACCUGAAGGAAGAGAAAGAAAUUCGAUUCCGUAAGUAGCGGCGAGCGAACGCGGAUUAGCCCAAACCAAUAAAGUUUUCUUUAUUGGGGUUGCGGACAUAUCAUAACGAAGAGGUAUCGUAAUUGAAGAGGUUUGGAAAGACCCACCACAGAAGGUAAUAGUCCUGUAUGUUAAACGAGAAGACUUUAGAUAUGAUCCAGAGUACCACGGGACACGUGAAACCCUGUGGGAAGCAGGAGGGACCACCCUCCAAGGCUAAAUACU